rnacentral:rRNA from 1 species
UACGGGGGGGGUAAGCGUUGUUCGGAAUUACUGGGCGUAAAGGGCUCGUAGGCGGCCAACUAAGUCGAACGUGAAAUCCCUCAGCUUAACUGGGGAACUGCGUCCGAUACUGGAUGGCUUGGAUUUGGGAGAGGGAUGCGGAAUUCCAGGUGUAGCGGUGAAAUGCGUAGAUAUCUGGAGGAACACCGGUGGCGAAGGCGGCAUCCUGGACCAAUAUUGACGCUGAGGAGCGAAAGCCAGGGGAGCAAACGGG